CGCAUCUUGCACUCCAUGGUAUUCCGUGGAGUAUGUCUGUUUGAGUGUCAUGUAACUCUCAAUCCUAUAUCUCUAUUUUAUAGAGAUGUUAGGGCUUGGAUCGUGAGUGUCUGCUGGACCUGUGUAUCAGCUCGCUCCAAAUGUAUUAGCGGUCUAGUAAUCUCUCCAUUGCUUGGACCUGGCGUGAUAAAAUCAUUCGCUGGGUUGUCUUCCGAAAGGGGGAGGCAAGGUGGGCUCGACAGCUUUAAACCAUCUUUAAGUGUUAGACCUCAGAUCAGGCAGGACUACCCGCUGAACUUAA
rnacentral:misc_RNA from 1 species